GAGUUUGAUCGUGGCUCAGAUUGAACGCUGGCGGCAUGCCUUACACAUGCAAGUCGAGCGGCAGCGCGGGGGCAACCCUGGCGGCGAGCGGCGAACGGGUGAGUAAUGCAUCGGAACGUGUCCUCUUGUGGGGGAUAACCAGUCGAAAGACUGGCUAAUACCGCAUGAGAAUCGAGAGAUGAAAGCAGGGGACCGCAAGGCCUUGCGCGAGAGGAGCGGCCGAUGCCGGAUUAGCUAGUUGUGGGUAACGCCUACCAAGGCGACGAUCCGUAGCUGGUCUGAGAGGAUGAUCAGCCACACUGGGACUGAGACACGGCCCAGACUCCUACGGGAGGCAGCAGUGGGG
rnacentral:rRNA from 1 species